GCCGGGCGUGGCGGCGUGCACCUGUAGUCUCAGCUACUCGGGAGGCUGAGGCAGGAGAAUUGCUUGAACCCGGGAGGCUGAGGUUGCAGUGAGCUGAGAUCACACCACUGCACUCCAGCCUGGGUGACAGAGUGAGACUCUGUCUCCA
rnacentral:SRP_RNA from 1 species